AACGUAGGACACAAGCGUUAUCCGGAGUUACUGGGCGUAAAGGGCGUGUAGGCGGAUUGGUAAGUCUACUCUGAAAGCUUCUGGCUAAACUGGAAGAGGCGAGUGGAGACUGUCAGUCUAGAGUGAGGAAGAGGAAAAGUGGAAAUUCCGCGUGUAGUGGUGAAAUGCGUAGAGAUGCGGAGGAACACCAGUGGCGAAAGCG
rnacentral:rRNA from 1 species